GCUUUAUUAUAGAUUAGGUGUCUUGUGCAGAGAUAUUUUCAAUGACACAUCAUUAGCUUCAUCUUUCAACUUUCUUCCUUUAUUGCUUUUUACUUUGGUUGCUGAAAAUCUCUUCUAUGUUUUUCCCAUUCAUCCCAGCUGUAAUCGUUAUUCUCUAUUUAUUCCCUCUUCUUCGCCACUCCUCCGGUGACGAAAACCAGCUGCUCCGGCUACAACUCUGGCGAAGAAUCCCACAACGGUCAACGCUCGCCGAAGUCCGUUCUACGGUGUGCUUCAACUUCAUUUGAUGAAUCUCAGAAUAACGAGGAAGCUUAAGCUGAGUCAUUAUCGAUUUUACCCUCCGAUAUCAGGGACAAAAAUGACAUUUCCAUGUCGGAGAACUUCUGCGAUUUACCACCGUUCGAGAGUUUCUUCCCAAAUGAUUUGUUUCAGUUCGAGAACCCGGCCCGUAGAGGACUUCUUUCAGGAUUUCGGAGAUGUAUUCGGGUCUAACCCGCUUGUGGCUCUUUGAUUUCAUCGGCAGAUUAAUCGGCGAUAAGUAUAAAUGGUUUAAUAUUCGUAAUUUUAAAAUUUAAUUUUGUGUUUAGUUUACCAGUUUUGUUUAAAUUUGUUGAUUAAUGUGAGUGAUUAGUGAGUAAUUAGUAAUUAGUAGUAUUAAUAUGUAACAGCUCCGUCACAUUAACGGUGAUGCUGAUGGAUGAGAUUUUGCGGUACAGUGUUGUUUUGGUGUUUUGUGCUUCGUUAAUAACAAUAAACGACUUUAGCAAUUA